UACCUUUGACUUUUUCUUCCACAGAAUUUCUCCCCUUCCCAGACUGAAGAACACUGUUGGAGAAAGUGAAGGCCAAAUACGAGUUGAAUCACUGCGUGGUUCCUGACACCUGCGGAAAUCACAGCCACGUGUCACCCCCAGCAUCUUCGUCUCCGCCCGGAGGCAGCAGGUGCCGGGAACGGAGCCCAGAGCCUAACCUGCCUCUCCCAGCGAGGGCCCCGCGAGCUAAGAAACGCCCUUUGGCCUGGGGCCACAGGUGCUCGCCCGGAGGAGACGCAGCCUGAUUCGCCUCCUGUGCGGGACCCAGGAUGAUGCAGGGCAGGUCAGCCCCAAACUACGGCUUAGCCUCGGAGGGCCCACGGCUCUUCUCGGCAGGGUUUCUUCCCCGCUGCUGCUGGGCCGCGGCUUCGAGGCCCACUGAGGCGCGGGAGCGACCACGGCAACCCCUCAGGCAAGUGCGCCCAGGGGAGCAGCUGGGGGCGGGGCGGGGCUGCGCUCCUGUUUAUACGCAGUUACUGAUAUGCAAAUUAAGCGAAGAUUAUGCAGCUAUUUCUAGAAUAAGGGUGGUAACUUUCAGGUCGUCAGGUUGUUGCCAUGGAAAGGGGCGGUGACUUCCGGGCGUUGCCAUGGCAACGGCAAACUGACAGGUUCCCGAGGGGGUGGGCCUUAUGGAAAACUGCUUCCCCCGCCCCAUCCCGCCUCCACCUCGAUAGCGGUCAAAGAUGGGCGCCCCCGCAAGUGCCAAAGAUGCGAAACCCGUAAUUUUAGAAACCAUAUUCUGUGGAAACUUCAGAAGCAUCCCGCAUUUCCCACUGAAACUCGCCCUGUUGAAAGAAGCCUCACCCGCCGUCCGGCUACCGCGCAGUCCUGGCCGGUCUCCUCCUCUGGCCGCGACCAAGGCCGCGUGGCCGUCGCUGCAGUUACGGGCGUUUCCAACACGCUUUAAAACGCACGCACACGAGCACCGCACCGCAGGGCUCCACGCCUCCUACCGGGCCUCGCAGAUGACAUGAAACCACCAAGUUUAUCGAGUUGAUCAAUGGUUACUUCUACUUGGAAACUGAUACCAACGUAGAAACAAGCAUUCUGUAGGAGGGUAGUUUUGCGAUUGAAAUUACCAAGCUGACUGGGCGCAGGGCUCACGCGUGGAGUUCCAGCACUUUGAAGCCCGAGGCGAGAGGAUGGCUUGAGCCGGGAAGGUGGAGGCUGCAGUGAGCGGAGGCAACACAGCUGCACUCCCGCCUGGGAGACACAGCAAGACCCUGUCUCAAAAACAUGUUUAAUGCAAUUAUCAAAUAACCAAUGUUAUGCUUUGCAGAGUCCUUAAAAACUGUUGAAAAUUAUAUUCAUAAAUGCACAAACUUAGUUAUUCCUAUUUAUGACAAAUCAAAGCUUUAGAUGGGAGUCUUGAAGACUUUCUAACUAGAAUUGAUGGGUUUGGGGGAUGUUAGAUAAGGUGCGUUUGGUUUUUAUCUCUAAUACCGCUGUACUUUAAACACUAAAAUGUAGCAAUGAGGUUGCCAAGAUCGUUGGAUUUUUAACUGGGCUAUUCAAAUAUCCAGAUGCCAGCUGAAUUCACAGCAGAAAAAAAAAAAAGCUAUUUGAUCUAUUUACUGAAUUUUCAUUUUAGGGUUAUGAUUUUUUCCAUUAGUGCCUGGCAAGUAAACAAAUACUAGAAUUUAAAUCUCUAGGGCAGUUCAUGCUUUUUUGGUCCUUAGCAACUCACAUGGGGGCUGUAGUGAAAAUGGACAAAAUCAACGGAAAGGGCUUGGAAGCCAUCUAAACAGACUCAAGCCAGCCACACCCACAGGAGCCCACAGUGACGACAGAUGAAUCCACCUGAACUCUUACAGUCCAACAUCAGUGACUGAUUUCAACACAUUUUAGAAACCUAUACAUAUGACAGUAGUAAUGAAGAUUACAUGUUACCCAAAACGAUGUAGUCAGAGUCACCUGCUUUAACCUCACCCUUUAUUCUUAGGUUUUAGAUUUGUGGUACUCCUAAUCUCACAAAUGAAAGGGUACCGUGCACCUAGGCUAAGGCCGCUGAAACCAAGUAGACACAUCGGGGCCAAUUUGGGGUAUGUAACGUAUUUAGAAAGAUUCAAAUGAUACAGGUAAAAUCACAAGGGACAUAACUAGCUCAGCAAUUACUUCACUGUGUUCAACAGCUGAAGCACCUCAUCGUGUUAUUGGGCCCCAAGUUGUCGUUUAUAUUUUCAUUAGCAUCUUUCUACUACUGGAAAUGUUAUCUAAAAUCAACACAAACUUUAAUAGGAGAUAAAUAUAUGUGAUAAUAUAACCAGGGAAAUUUGGUCCAAGAUGUUUCACGGCUUUAGGAAGAAAGGUCUGCCCUAUGGUAAAAUAUUUAUACUAUUGCUGGUAAAUGACAGAGUAUGUGUGCUCUAUAAUCUUAAAUCAUAUGCACAAAUGCUUUAACAGUGAGAAAACACUGUUAGAAGCAUAUCACAUUGCCAAAUGUUGGUGGAAGCUUAAAUUUUAAGUUAAUGGAUGGUAGAUUUUAAAUAAAAACAAUCAUUCUGGCAUG